UCCAGCAGCGCCAUCUAGCAAGGACAACGGACACGCGGCCGCAAACCAGCUGCCCCUUCCCUCCUCACUUCAUAUCCUCUUCUCUUGGAUCCCCUCUCUCGUCUAGCUCGCCGGGGGCACCGCCGCUCGUCGUUGCAACACCGGUCACAGGAACCGGCGGGAUUCGGCAGCCCUCAGUCUGGAUCGACGUCCAUGCCUCCAGCUUCGACAUGCACGCCAGUUGGACGGCGCCGUGAAUCGCCUCGUUUUCUAGUGCGUUCUUGCUCCCAGCGUGCAGGAACCUCUUGGACCGAGGUCGCCUUCCUCGGUUCCGUCAGCCGCCGCGGUCGUCAUCCUCACCGAACAGCUAUAGGGACUUUGAGGGGCUCUGCUUUGUCCACAUCUGCUCUGGACCACAGAUUUGAAGCCGCGGAUCCCUCCUACUUCUUCCUGACGCUGACUGCCAUUACCGCUGCCCAUAGCUCGUUGCUCUGCUCUCUCCGACCUCGCCACUAACAGCAGGAUGAGAGAAAGAGAGAUUGAUUUGCUAGUGCAAGUAUCUAAUGAGCCAGAUGCCAGCUGGUUUGAUCUUUUCAGCAAACGCUAUUGGGAAGUUGUGAGUGUGGGAGCGACACUGUUUUUAUUUCAGUAACUUGCUGGCAUAAAUGUUGUCGUGUACUACUCUACGUCCAUGUUCCACAGUACAGGCCUUGCAUCUAAUGUUGCAGCGAGUGCUCUUGUUCGGUGAUGCCAAUGUUUUUGGCACCAUGAUUGCAUCUCCACUGAUGGUCAAGCAAGGAAGGAAGAGCCUUCUCAUAACAAGAUUAUCUGGAAUGGCUUGUCGAUGUUACUCUUGUCAUUGUCCUUCACCUGGAAGGCUUUAGCACCUUAUUAUGGCACUCUUGCUGUUGUUGGCACUGUCCUGUUGGGGACAUAGGUGUGUGUGGUUGCUGAGUUAUCUGCAUAGUUUUGAACUUCUGAUAAGAAAAAUCCACCGUCGCCAUGCUACUAUGUCCUUUUUAAGUGGCCUGGAUCCGCUCGUGCUUGGUGCAGCGAGAUGCAUGGUGCUGCGGGAGUUGUGGCGGACAUGGACAGAUGAAUUCACAUGAUCUUGAGAUUGCAUGGGACCCUAUGUUGUUCACACAUAAGGUGUAUGAUCUUGACCUCGCUGAACCCUGUCUUGGUAAAUUUAUCAGUUCCUUACAUCUGUCUGUGUAACUUUGAACCCAGUUUAGACAUACUCAGUUUCAUAGGGCAGACGAGUAAGGAAAAGCAAUUGAUGUUGUUAAGAAGCAUUGGGGAAAGUCUGUAUCUUGGAAUCACUUAUGUCUGUUGUUUCAAUUGCUUGUAUGAUAAAAUUUAUUGCGUGAAGAAUUUGCUUUUGCAG